ACACCCUUAACCCUAAUUUAUUUACUCAAAUCAGCCGCCCCCAGAAUCCCUUCGUCUCUCAAACUCUCUUUAACCCCCUUCCGAAGCUCUAGCCUUCUCUGCCGGUUUCCACCUUGUUUCACCAGAAUCUAUGGCAUCUCGAGUCCUGGGUGGCCUAUACUCACCCUCAAGUGCCCUCAUACCCCUGUUACUAGAAGAUUCAAGGUUCGAGUUUGAAGGCCUUUGCUCAGAUCUCCACUAAUUCGAAUGUUACGGCCAUCUCCGGCUUAACUCCGGCAUACCCUAGCCCUAUGAUUCUAUCUCUGACACAUUCCACUCCGAGCAGACACUUUUUCCAGGCCUUUAUCGCUUCUAGGGUUCUUUUGUAACCCUAGCCUUUCGAGGUUUUCCUAUUUUCUCUAGAUCUGC
rnacentral:lncRNA from 1 species